rnacentral:tRNA from 1 species
GUGUAUGUAAUUUAAAU